GAAGCCAAUGCUAAGAAUUUUUACUAGUGGCAGCCCUAGUUCCAGCCCCAAUUUCCUAGAACUCCGCGAUCAAAAAUUUGACAUUCAAUUUUUUACUGCAGAAGUGACAAGUGAGUUUAAAAACCAGAUUACUUUUCAAACCAAAACAAGAUGUUCGUAGUACGUCGCAGCGCAGCGUGCAUUUAUCCCAAG